AACAUUGCACUGUAAAAAUAUGAUUAAUUUUAUUCACUUCAUCUGUCAGUGGUUUUAAUAUUGUGAUUGGUUGGUUAAUUGAACCGUUGAAGCGGAAGAGCAAUAGAACUGAUGUAGUAUGUUUUAUUACUGCCCUUAAACAAUAAACAGUACAAAUAGUUCAUUUAGAUAGUUAAUAAAGAGUAAAGAGUUUAGGUUGGACAAAAUUAAUCUGAAACAUUAAAGGACCUUUGGAUCUAUUUGGCCAGAGAAAAUAACUUUCAGCACUUUUAAAAUACAAACUUAGCAACAAGAAAAUGCUGAUUAACAAUACAGAAAACAGCAAAAGAUCAACCACCGGUGAAGCACAGACAACUAAUUAGAGCCUUCUGUUUUUCCAUCAUCUGCAAGGCUUUGUUCCAUCUCGCCUGUGCAGAUUCAUGCAUUAGUUCUGACGAUGGAUUUCUGGUGCCAUCAAGCCAUGGCAGCCUGCAUGACCAAAUCCCUGUUUGUUUUCUCCAGGUGUCUCAGUGAUACCAACCCCCUUCUGGUCCCUGACAUACAGUGACUCAUAGUGCUAUGCUGCUGGGCCAAGUGCUGGAAAAUAAUGGUUUCCUCUGCAAUUAUCAACAAUUAUCUUCAGCUUGUGUGAGUACUAGUGAAUUCCCAGCUGCCACAGGGAUCAGUCAGCUCUCUGCUGCUCAGCCUGCAGUGGACCACUUUCAUAGAUUUUAGAUAAAAAAUAUAUGGAAAGUAAAAAUCCAGAAGGCUUUAAUUCACUGGGUACUGUCGGACAGAUCCACAAGGAUUAUGACCCGGUUAAUUGGUGCUGAGAUGCAAUGAGACAGUUACAUGGUUCAGGAUUCUAAACCAGCUGGAGCGCAAAGCAAUUAAUUUACAGCCUGAAAAACUGAGUAUACUGAAACAUAUGAGAAGGACCACAGAGGAUAUAAAGUAGGUAAUUAAUUUAUGUUCUUCUCAAAGUCUCAGCAGUACACUGAAAUGAGCUUCACAAUGGAGCUUAAUUCCAAGGGGUUCAGUAGCUGUGGCAAAGAGGAAGGAAGUGGAGAAAGUCCGAGAUGCAGAGUGCAAAAGUGGUGUAAUGCGGUCUGUUCAGCCCCGUGAAGAUUUGCAUCCCAUCUCCACCCCUUCACCACUGCUGCCAUGAUAUUUGGCCAUCUUCAAUCAAAUCCUCCAAAUUUCAGUUUCCUUUCCAUGCAGUCAGCAUCACUCCUCAUCACCACCACCAGUGUUAAGCCUCCGGGGGAAAGUCUCCUUCAUAUGGAAGUUUCCUGUGGUGAUGUACUUCCUGCUGGGGUCUCAGUGCCAAAGUCUGUUUUGCUUUUCACAAUACAUUCAUUUUACUUGAAUUGUCACAUUCAUUUUCUUUCGUGUUAGUCUCUCCUGACUGAAGCGGUACCAACUAACCUUGAGAGAUCUGAUAAUAAAAUUGUGAGAAAAAAUAAAACGCUCCAGUAUCCUUUCCUUGUUUCUCUGUUGUUUUUCACUCAGGAGCAGCCUCAAUGCGCAAUGCGUUUUAACAUUUGAGUUGUUUCAUGUAAACUGUAUGCUGGCUGAUUACACUUUUUUGGUUUGUCAACAUACUUCCUUCCUGAAAAACAAGCAUUUAUGUGAAUAUUUAAAAAGAAGUUUGUUUUUUUUUCCUGACAGGCGUGUAGUGAUUUUUUCUUAUUUUAUAAGUUUAUUUUAACUCUGCCUUCGCUUGCGAGAUUUGUUAUGUAAAAAAGGGAUCAAAUAGCUACAUUAAAAGACAGUUCUCAUGUGUUCUAAGGUUCAUA